GUAUUUGGGGUUCAAAAUCACAAUAUCAAUAAAAUAAAAAUGCUAGGUUUUUGCCUUAUCUUCUACGGAUGUCUUCUCCGAUUUGACAACUUCAUCUGAAUCGCUCGGAACACCUUUGUCCACCGGUAACAUCCUUUUCAUGUCUGCUAGCAUCUCUGAUAGUAACACUCUGAGGUACAAAGCAAGAGACAGAAAGCGCCUCUUGCUCCGGUUCUGAAGAAAAGUAAUUAUGAAAACUCGUAG
rnacentral:lncRNA from 1 species